GGAUGAUGACAGUGUGGGUUUCAAGAAUGUUAUUGUGUAUGCGUUGAAAUUGAAAAAUGAUGGUGUUGGAAUUGUGUGUUGAUUGUGGGUUCGGGAUGAAGAAAGGGGUAAUGGGUUGUUGUUUUUCUAUUUGUACAGGUAAGAUGUAAUAAUGUAUGUGUUAAAAGAAUGGAGGUUUAUAGUGAUGAUGAAGGUGAAGAAAAGGUAGAUGAUGGACAUGGUGAAGGAGAAGGGAACUU
rnacentral:lncRNA from 1 species